GGGUGAAUAGGGCGAAACUGAAAUUUACAAAGUUAAUCACAACUACAAGCCGGGUUAGCGUUAGAAAUAUAAUCGAGUCGUGAGAGAGGGUGCAAAACAACUCGCAAGCAAAUAAAGAGUGUGACACGCGGAUUUGUUUUACCGAGGUUCAGUUCUCGCAAACCUACUCCCCGUUGAGGUGGUCACAAAGACCGGGUCUCUUUCAACCCUUUCCCUCUCUCAAACGGUCCCCCGGACCUAGUGAGCUUUCUCUUCUCAAAUCAACCGGGAACAAAACUUCCCCGCAAGGACCACCACACAAUUGGUGUCUGUCACACCCGGAUUUCGGGGCACCAAGACCUGAGCGCGAACAUAAUCACCAGGUGUGCUGGGACCAAGUCUCACACAUAUGAUGAAUCAUGGCACAGGAUCGAAUGUCACAUCUUUACUAUAUAACAGGAGUUCUAUACAAAAUAAAUAAUUACAUUAUAAGGAGACAACAGUCCAGCAACCCAAAGUUGACUGGGAGACGACGACCUAGACCUCUCACGGACUCGUCACAACAUCCUUCAUGCGCCUCAUCCUGUGGUACCUGUUCUUGACCUGUGGGGGUGUGAGACAGCAAGAGUGAGCUCACAUACGUUCAUCGCUCAACAAGUUGUGGGGAAUAAUAUGCAUGAACUCACCAAAGGUGGGAGCUCACGUGAAGUGUAAGGCUUACCAAAGAGGAUGGUUAGAGCUGAGCAUUGCUUUUAAAAUUGGUCAAAAUUUUAUUAGCAGUUACUAAGUAUAAGUAAAUACCAACCCAAUUAAGAAAAGUAAUAACAUCACCUGCGAUGCAAUGCGUAUGACAAAUUGAAUUUAGUUCCAUAAAUUAAUCAUGUGAGUGUCCGAGCUGCUCAUGACCGUGAGCACGGCUAGUAUACCAGUUUUACACUCUGCAGAGGUGUAACACCCCACUGAUCCCACACAAUGGAUGAUACCAAAAAAACCUUUCUACAAAACUUAUGCAACACAUAGAGAAAGAAAGUAUUGCAAAAUCCGGCAGCACCUCCCUUGAAAGUAGCAUAACAAGGGAAGCAUAUAGUUUAUACAGGAUAUAAAAGAAAGAUAAUUGACAUAGUAUAAUCAAAAUGCAGCGGUAGAAAUGAACAUUCAUGACCAGACAAAAGAUAGACAACUCAGCCCACCAAACUACACAGUUCAACUACCAUGAAAGAUUAGAAUGUAAUAAUUCCCUAGACUUGACCCUUCCUGUUUAACAUCAUUAUUAAUCAGUUAUUCCUUUAUUUAAAAGUGUGGUGGCCGUGCUGCUACAUCCCUUCUUUCCCAAAGCAAAAAUCAGGUGCCUGCAUCAGACAAUGCAAGAGUGAGAUGACACAUCUCAGCAAGUAAAAAAAAAAACAAACAACAGUUGGACAAUGCAAGCCAAUCGUGCAUAAGCAACCACAUGGUUCCCAACUUCUUUCUUAAAUAUUAAUUUGCAGCAAGUAAGAAAGUAACCAAUUACUCAAUGCCAAGAUGAAUUACAAAGUAAAGAUCCACCUUAUCCACAUCACCAAAAUAGGUUCCACACUUCACCCAUGAAUGCACAUGGCUACAGAUGCAAUAUGACUUCUGCCUUCAUACCUCUAAGGAUAUGAAGCUGCAUCAUACCCCUUCUCGGGAAACAUAUGAUGCUCAUUGUACCGAUACGAUCGGACCAUAAGAUCGCGACGAAACUUCAAUGCAAUGGAUGAUGAAUGCAUUAUGCAUGUCAACAACAUGAGUUCUUCCCAAAUAAAAUGUGCUAGACAUAUACUUCCACCCAUUUCACAUCAAUAACCACAUGGGUAACAUGAUCAAACCACACCCUCCACAUGUAUAAUCAAUAAAACAUGAAUAAUUUCAAACGAUGGUACCCAAUUAGGAAUAUGGAUACGAACACAAAUAGCACAAACAUAAUCAAGUAUAAGACUCUUCAAUCCAAAAGACGAAAUAACCAUCACUGUUUUACUUGCCUUUACCGAAGUUCGGGCAAAAUCCCUAAGAACGAUCCGGAAGUCCACCACCUGUUUUUGACACCCAACUUAGUGCACCAAAUUCUCAUAAAAAAACUCAAAGACAACACCGCACCUACGCGCAAUCUCAAACCCCGCCGUGGUAACAAUUCUCCCCUCACUAACCAAACUGCAGCGGCGCUGCUUAACAAUUCCAUAACUUAAAAUUUAGGACAGAAGUGAUGAUAAACAAAAACUUCAGAGACAACUACAUAAAAUUCCCCACAAGUUUUGUAUACAACUCAUGAUUGAAUUCUAACAUCUACUUACCUCUAAACGGCCCUCAAAAUAAACCCUGCAAUCUGUUUUUUUUCUGAUUUGAGCAGCGACAUACGCGGAUUCAAACAGCGAUAACUUUUAAAAUAUAAUUCCGAUUUGAGCGCAUAAGUACUUGUUGGAAAGAUAAGAAAAAGCCCUACAUGAUUCUCAUACUGAUUAACACUAAUUACUCCCGAAACAUCCCCAGAAACUGCUAACACUGCUGCUGUUCAUCACUCUGAAAAAUCUGUUUUCUGGACAGCCACAUACCCGGAUUCAAACGAUGAUAACUUUUAAUUUAUAACUCCAAAUUGGGCGCAUAAAUACUCGUUGGAAAGAUAAAACAAAGUUCUACAAGAUUCUCAUACUGAUUAACACUAAUUGCUCCCGAAAAAUCCCCAGAAACUGCUAACACUGCUGCUGUUCAUCACUCUGAAAAAUCUGUUUUCUGGACAGCCACAUACCCGGAUUCAAACGAUGAUAACUUUUAAUUUAUAACUCUAAAUUGAGCGCAUAAAUACUCGUUGGAAAGAUAAAACAAAGUUCUACAAUAUUCCCAAAUUGAUCCCCAUUAAAUCUUCACGAAAAAAACCUAAAAACUGCUGGAACUACCGCUGUUCAUCCACCACGCAAAAUUCUGGACAGCCCCCUCUAUCUAAUCGCAAACGCAACAUCUAAUCAAUUGAAUCGCAGCGCAAAUGAACAAGGGAUGAACACAAAAGAAAAAUCACCUUGGGUUCUCCCCUUUUCCUUCCUCCCUUCUUACCUCCACCAAAACGAUUGGAGAUUCGCACCAAGAGACGAUGAUCCGAGCGGCACGGAGUAGCACCUAGGGAGGAGGGGAUUGGGGGGGGGGGCUAGGGUUUUGGUGGCUGCAACAAUGGAGAGAGGAGGAGGUGGGCAGGGGGGGGGGGCGGCGGCCAAGGGGAAAGGAGGAGUGGGGGGGCUGCACAUGGGGGGGGGUAGUUAGGAGGGUGGCGGCUAGGGUUUGGGAGGGCUAAUGGGCCGAAACACCAAUUGCGGCCCAACUAUCCCACGCGACAGCUCCCGACCGCAACGCAAACGUCAAACCAAAUAAAUUCUACUGCCCUAGUUGCGAAUGUUGAACACAAAAUUCCAAAUCCCCAAAACAACAACUGGAUGAGGGAAAAAAACAAAAAGAACAACCCCCAACUUCUCUUCUUUGCAAACCGGGUAUCACAUUCUACCCCUCUUAAAAAGAAUUCGACCUCGAAUUCUGACGCUUCUAUCGGAAUGACACAAGAAAAGAUUAGCGAAUCAACAACACUUACCCACAACGAAAAGUUCCGGGUACUUCUGCCGCAUCAACUCCUCAAGUUCCCACGUAGCCUCGCGCUCUGACUGAUUAGACCAUAAGACCUUGACAUACUUAAUUGAUCUCUUCCUCAACACACGCUCCGAGAAUUCCAAUAUACGCACCGGACGGCACUCCAGAGUCAGAUCCUGCUGCACCGCAAUUGGUUCCAUCUCAAUCUGAUGGUCCGGAUCCCGCAAGAACUUCCUCAACAUAGAGACAUGAAAAACCGGGUGUACCCCUGCCAUGGAAUCCGGCAGCAGCAAGCGAUAAGCCAGGCUGCCCACUCGGGCCAAGAUAGUGAACGGUCCAAUGUAUCUUGGGCUGAGCUUCCCAGAGACACCGAACCGAACAACUCCCUUAGUGGGUGAUACCCUGAGAAGGACUUGGUCACCCACAGCAAAUUCCAGAUCCCGCCUCCUCACAUCAGCAUAACUCUUCUGACGACUCUGAGCUGCCAAAAUAUUCUGACGAAUUUCCCGAACCUUUUCAGAAGUUUGCUGAACCCAAUCAGGACCAACCAGGGAUCUCUCUCCCAAAGUCUCCCAGCACAGAGGAGAGAUACACCGCCUGCCAUACAAAGCCUCAAAUGGUGCCAUCUUGAUGCUAGCUUGGUAGCUGUUGUUAUACGCAAACUCUGCCAGAGCAAGAUGAUCCUCCCAGCUACCCUUCCAUGACAGAACACAAGCACGCAACAUAUCCUCCAAGGUUUGGAUUGUUCGCUCUGACUGACCAUCCGUCUGAGGGUGAAAAGCGACACUAAGCGAAAGCUUGGUGCCCAAUGCACUGUGGAGACUCUCCCAGAAUUUGGAUACAAAUUUGGAGUCUCGAUCAGAAACAAUAGACUUAGGUACCCCGUGAAGCCUGACUACUUCCUUCAUAUACAAGGGAACCAAAUCUGAAGCUGAAUUCGUGGUCUUCAUGGGAAUAAAAUGUGCAGACUUAGUCAAGCGAUCCACUACCACCCAAAUAGCAUCCCUGCCACGAGGGGAACGAGGUAGACCCACCACAAAAUCCAUGGUGAUAUGCUCCCAUUUCCACUCUGGAAUUUCCAAUGGCUUCAGCAAACCUGCAGGCCGCUUAUGUUCGGCCUUCACGCGCUGACAUACUUCACAGGCGGCCACAUACUUAGAAAUGUCAACCUUCAUCCGCUUCCACCAGAAGUGUUGCUUCAAAUCUCGGUACAUUUUGGUUUCGCCAGGAUGGACGGUGUAAGGCGUUUUAUGAGCUUCUCGCGGGAUAUCCAGCUUCACCUCUGAUUUCUGAGGCACACAAAGACGGCCCCUGAAACGAACCAAAUCAUUCUCAUCAAUGGUGAACUCCCGCGGUUUACCAUCACCAACCCUCCUUCGGGCUUCCUGCAAAAGACGAUCCUGCUGCUGAGCCGCACGCACUCUCUCCAUAAGAGAGGAUUGAAUAAGCAUCUGAGUCUCCUCGCUAGCGGUGCCGACAUAACACAAAGCGAUCCCCAAACGGUCCAGAUCAGUGAUCAACGGCAAGGCCACCUUUGGAACCCCAGACCUGCUAAGGGCAUCCACCACCACAUUAGCCUUCCCUAGGUGAUAAUGAAUGGACAAAUCAUAAUCUUUAAUCAAUUCUAGCCACCGACGCUGCCUCAAAUUCAGCUCCUUCUAAGUAAAAAUAUACUUGAGACUUUUGUGAUCAGUGAAAAUGUCACAAGCCUCGCCAUAAAGGUAAUGCCUCCACGACUUUAGAGCAAAAACCACCGCAGCCAAUUCCAGAUCAUGAGUUGGAUAAUUCCCCUCAUGCUUCCUCAACUGCCUUGAGCCAUAAGCAAUCACCCUGCCUUCCUGCAUCAGCACACAGCCAAGACCAAUACGCGAAGCAUCCGUAUAAACUGUGAAACGCUUACCGCUCUCAGGCAAAGCUAGGAUAGGGGCGUCCACCAACUUGCUCUUCAAUGACUGAUAACUGAUCUCACACUCGCCGGACCAGACGAAGGGAACACCCUUCCCCAAGAGCCUAGUCAAAGGCUUAGCAAUGCUGGAAAAAUUUGGUACGAAACGCCGAUAAUACCCAGCAAGCCCCAAGAAACUUCGGAUUUCAGAGACACUAGAAGGUCUCUUCCACUCCACUACAGCCGCAACAUUCUUGGGGUCAACCGCAAUACCCUGCUGAUUAAUAACGUGCCCCAGGAAAGCCACUUCAGAUAGCCAAAAGGCGCACUUCUUCAACUUGCCAUAGAAUUGAUUCUUCCUUAGGGCACCCAGAACGAGACGGAGAUGCUGAUCAUGCUCGGCCUCGGUCUUUGAAUAAAUCAAAAUAUCAUCCAGGAAUACGACCACAAAAUCGUCCAAGAAUUCAUGCAGCAUCCUAUUCAUUGCUUCCAUAAACGCAGCAGGGGCAUUAGUUAAGCCAAAGGACAUGACUAUGAACUCAUAAUGCCCAUACCUGGUGCAGAAGGCAGUCUUCUCAAUAUCCUCCUCACGAAUCCUCAAUUGAUGAUAACCAGAGUUCAAAUCAAUUUUGGAGAACACCUGGGCACCCCUCAACUGCUCAAAGAGGACCUCAAUUCGAGGAAGUGGAUAUUUAUUCUUGAUUGUCACUUGAUUCAAAGCGCGAUAAUCCACACACAGCCGCUUGCUUUUAUCCUUCUUCUCAACAAACAAUACUGGGGAAGCCCAUGGAGACCUGCUAGGCCUAAUGAAGCCCUUAGCCAGCAGAUCAUCCAAUUGCCGCUUUAAUUCAAUCUGCUCCUUUGGAGCCAUUCGAUACGGGGCCCUAUGAAUAGGCUGCGUACCCGGGAUCAGCUUAAUCUCAAAAGCUGCAUCGCGCUCCGGAGGAAUGCCUGGAAGCUCUGCUGGAAACACGUCAGCAAAGUCACACACCACCCGGAUGUCCUGCACCCGCAAGGCAGCCUCGCCCUCCACCACCAUAGAGAAAAAAAUCCCUGACUUCCUUGACCAGCGAUCAGGAAGCAAUUGCGCCAACAAGGAUAAUGUGAACUUCGGAGAACUUCCCAAGAAUACCACCUCCUUACCCGACGGCGCCUGCAAUAACACUGUCUUCCAGAAGCAGGAUAUAACCGCGCGAUACUGGGAUAACCAAUCCAUACCCAAGAUAACAUCGAAUGCCCCCCAAGGAAAUCACCACCAGAUUAGCCGAAAAAAACUCAUCAGCAAGAAUGACGGAACGCCCCUGACAAACUGAACAGCUACUAAUGGAGCCAUUAGCAGAACUGACCAAAAUUGGGUGACCCAACCUCUGCACCGAAAGACCAGCCCGCGACACAAAAUCCUCCGAAACAAACGAAUAGCUAGCGCCAGAGUCAAAAAGAGCAUGGGCUGCAAAUGAAUCAACUGAAAUCGUACCUGUCACCACGUCUCCUUGCUCCCUGCCAUCCGCAGCGGGUAGCACAUAAGCUCCAGAAAUACCCGCAGAAGAGGUAGCUCUCGGAGUGAAAUUAACAGAAGAACCCCACUGAGCCACCGGAGGAGGCUGGCGCGGAGCUCCAAACUGAGACAGCACAGGGGUAGACGACGCAGGAGUAGGCACAACCUGAUACUGCGGAAAACCUUGCAUCGGCACGAACUGAGAAGUCCCAGGCACAUAAAGCUGCUGUGGAGGAAGAGGAACUGAAAACUGCUGCUCAGCACUUGACAUCAUAUUGAUAGUGCCCUGAGAAGAGGAGGAAGCUAUCGGCUCCCAUCUGAGCUUCCCAUUGGGAUUCCUCCUACACACCACAUCCUUGUGGUCCUGACUGCAGAUAGAACACCUGCCACUCCACUGGCACUCUGCACGGCGAUGCGCAUCUCCACAGCGGAAACACACCAGCCCCAACCCGGGCUUAGGAACGGCCCGAAACCUCUGAGUACUUCCUCCUGAAGUACCUGAGUCAGAAGAUUUGCCACGGUAAGGAUGGUGGCGCUGAUGCUGAGACUUGCCCCUCUUGUGAGCUGGACCUCCAGUGCUGCCCCUCCUCGUGUCCUGGCUACGAGGUUGAUCAACACCCGAAGACUUCUGCGACUCCAUGGUGUACUGGUGUUGCAUCUCCACACCUAGCGCCUGCUCCACUGUGGUACGGAAGUCCACCAACGGAAAGGCCCCCAGAGCAUGCCUGAUAGAAGGCUUCAGACCCUGACGGAAUUGGCUCGCCUUCUCCAUCUCAUUAUAAGCCACAUGAGGGACAAAGCGGACCAUUUUGUUGAAGCCCACCUCAUACUCUGUGACAGACUUCUUCUCCUGCUUGUAGGACUGCAAGUCAAUCUUCAUUUUCUCCAGAAAGGUGACCGGGUAGAAUCUCCUUUCGAACUGCCUGAUGAAAACAUCCCAUGAUAGGACUCCUGGUGAGGAGGAGUGCGCUGCCUGCACGCCUCUCCACCAAAUCUGCGCCUCACCCUUCAGCAGCUGAGUGCCAAAGCGAACCCGAUCUCCAUAAGUAAUCUCGAAGACAUUCAUCUUAUCCUCCACAUAAGUCAGCCAAUCUGCCGCCUCGACCGGAGUACCACUGCCAUCAAAAGAAUCCAACUUCAUGCCCAUCCACUGCAUCAGAGAGAGACCACUGACUGGAAGAGGCACCUCGGCCCCACCACCAGGAACAGCACCCGCAGGGACAGCGCCCCCGGACACUUCUCCACCUCCAGCACCCUGAGCAGCAGCUGCAGGGGCGACAGGAAUGGCUUGCCUCAGAAGGGCCAACUCCUGCUGCAUGGCCUGCAUCGCGGCUAACAUUGCCGCCGGACUCAUCGAGUCCCCACUAGGAGCUUGCGGACUACCCCGAGCUCUACGAGGCGGCAUAGUUGUAGCCACAGGGAUGAGAAUAAUAAGUAUAUGAGAUAAGCAUAGCAUCUCUCUAGAUAAUGUCAAAACUAGCACAGAGAAUAACAUAAUCAUAUCAAUAGCAAGACCGAAAACCCAUCCUACAUGUGCAGUGUGUCAAUUUAUUACUACUCCACUUGCUAGGACCUACAGCCUAUACCUUUGAUACCAACUGUAACACCCCACUGAUCCCACACAAUGGAUGAUACCAAAAAAAACCUUUCUACAAAACUUAUGCAACACAUAGAGAAAGAAAGUAUUGCAAAAUCCGGCAACACCUCCCUUGAAAGUAGCAUAACAAGGGAAGCAUAUAGUUUAUACAGGAUAUAAAAGAAAGAUAAUUGACAUAGUAUAAUCAAAAUGCAGCGGUAGAAAUGAACAUUCAUGACCAGACAAAAGAUAGACAACUCAGCCCACCAAACUACACAGUUCAACUACCAUGAAAGAUUAGAAUGUAAUAAUUCCCUAGACUUGACCCUUCCUGUUUAACAUCAUUAUUAAUCAGUUAUUCCUUUAUUUAAAAGUGUGGUGGCAGUGCUGCUACAUCCCUUGUUUCUCAAAGCAAAGAUCAGGUGCCUGCAUCAGACAAUGCAAGAGUGAGAUGACACAUCUCAGCAAGUAAAAAAAAACAAACAACAGUUGGACAAUGCAAGCCAACCGUGCAUAAGCAACCACAUGGUUCCCAACUUCUUUCUUAAAUAUUAAUUUGCAGCAAGUAAGCAAGUAAUCAAUUACUCAAUGCCAAGAUGAAUUACAAAGUAAAGAUCCACCUUAUCCACAUCACCAAAAUAGGUUCCACACUUCACCCAUGAACGCACAUGGCUACAGAUGCAAUAUGACUUCUGCCUUCAUACCUCUAAGGAUAUGAAGCUGCAUCAUACCCCUUCUCGGGAAACAUAUGAUGCUCAUUGUACCGGUACGGUCGGACCAUAAGAUCGCGACGAAACUUCAAUGCAAUGGAUGAUGAAUGCAUUAUGCAUGUCAACAACAUGAGUUCUUCCCAAAUAAAAUGUGCUAGACAUAUACUUCCACCCAUUUCACAUCAAUAACCACAUGGGUAACAUGAUCAAACCACACCCUCCACAUGUAUAAUCAAUAAAACAUGAAUAAUUUCAAACGAUGGUACCCAAUUAGGAAUAUGGAUACGAACACAAAUAGCACAAACAUAAUCAAGUAUAAGACUCUUCAAUCCAAAAGACGAAAUAACCAUCACUGUUUUACUUGCCUUUACCGAAGUUCGGGCAAAAUUUCUAAGAACGAUCCGGAAGUCCACCACCUGUUUUUGACACCCAACUUAGUGCACCAAAUUCUCAUAAAAAAAACUCAAAGACAACACCGCACCUACGCGCAAUCUCAAACCCCGCCGUGGUAACAAUUCUCCCCUCACUAACCAAACUGCAGCGGCGCUGCUUAACAAUUCCAUAACUUAAAAUUUAGGACAGAAGUGAUGAUAAACAAAAACUUCAGAGACAACUACAUAAAAUUCCCCACAAGUUUUGUAUACAACUCAUGAUUGAAUUCUAACAUCUACUUACCUCUAAACGGCCCUCAAAAUAAACCCUGCAAUCUGUUUUUUUUUUCUGAUUUGAGCAGCGACAUACGCGGAUUCAAACAGCGAUAACUUUUAAAAUAUAAUUCCGAUUUGAGCGCAUAAGUACUUGUUGGAAAGAUAAGAAAAAGCCCUACAUGAUUCUCAUACUGAUUAACACUAAUUACUCCCGAAACAUCCCCAGAAACUGCUAACACUGCUGCUGUUCAUCACUCUGAAAAAUCUGUUUUCUGGACAGCCACAUACCCGGAUUCAAACGAUGAUAACUUUUAAUUUAUAACUCCAAAUUGGGCGCAUAAAUACUCGUUGGAAAGAUAAAACAAAGUUCUACAAGAUUCUCAUACUGAUUAACACUAAUUGCUCCCGAAAAAUCCCCAGAAACUGCUAACACUGCUGCUGUUCAUCACUCUGAAAAAUCUGUUUUCUGGACAGCCACAUACCCGGAUUCAAACGAUGAUAACUUUUAAUUUAUAACUCUAAAUUGAGCGCAUAAAUACUCGUUGGAAAGAUAAAACAAAGUUCUACAAGAUUCCCAAAUUGAUCCCCAUUAAAUCUUCACGAAAAAAACCUAAAAACUGCUGGAACUACCGCUGUUCAUCCACCACGUAAAAUUCUGGACAGCCCCCCUCUAUCUAAUCGCAAACGCAACAUCUAAUCAAUUGAAUCGCAGCGCAAAUGAACAAGGGAUGAACACAAAAGAAAAAUCACCUUGGGUUCUCCCCUUUUCCUUCCUCCCUUCUUCCCUCCACCAAAACGAUUGGAGAUUCGCACCAAGAGACGAUGAUCCGAGCGGCACGGAGUAGCACCUAGGGAGGAGGGGAUUGGGGGGGGGGGCUAGGGUUUUGGUGGCUGCAACAAUGGAGAGAGGAGGAGGUGGGCAGCGGGGGGCGGCGGCCAAGGGGAAAGGAGGAG
rnacentral:lncRNA from 1 species